UUAAGCGACUAAGCGUACACGGUGGAUGCCCUGGCAGUCAGAGGCGAUGAAGGACGUGCUAAUCUGCGAAAAGCGUCGGUAAGGUGAUAUGAACCGUUAUAACCGGCGAUGUCCGAAUGGGGAAACCCAGUGUGAUUCGUCACACUAUCGUUAACUGAAUACAUAGGUUAACGAGGCGAACCGGGGGAACUGAAACAUCUAAGUACCCCGAGGAAAAGAAAUCAACCGAGAUUCCCCCAGUAGCGGCGAGCGAACGGGGAGCAGCCCAGAGUCUGAAUCAGCUUGUGUGUUAGUGGAACGGUCUGGAAAGUCCGACGGUACAGGGUGAUAGUCCCGUACACCAAAAUGCACAGGUUGUGAACUCGAAGAGUAGGGCGGGACACGUGGUAUCCUGUCUGAAUAUGGGGGGACCAUCCUCCAAGGCUAAAUACUCCUGACUGACCGAUAGUGAACCAGUACCGUGAGGGAAAGGCGAAAAGAACCCCGGCGAGGGGAGUGAAAAAGAACCUGAAACCGUGUACGUACAAGCAGUGGGAGCACCUUCGGGUGUGACUGCGUACCUUUUGUAUAAUGGGUCAGCGACUUAUAUUCUGUAGCAAGGUUAACCGUAUAGGGGAGCCGCAGGGAAACCGAGUCUUAACUGGGCGUUAAGUUGCAGGGUAUAGACCCGAAACCCGGUGAUCUAGCCAUGGGCAGGUUGAAGGUUGGGUAACACUAACUGGAGGACCGAACCGACUAAUGUUGAAAAAUUAGCGGAUGACUUGUGGCUGGGGGUGAAAGGCCAAUCAAACCGGGAGAUAGCUGGUUCUCCCCGAAAGCUAUUUAGGUAGCGCCUCGUGAACUCAUCUUCGGGGGUAGAGCACUGUUUCGGCUAGGGGGUCAUCCCGACUUACCAACCCGAUGCAAACUACGAAUACCGAAGAAUGUUAUCACGGGAGACACACGGCGGGUGCUAACGUCCGUCGUGAAGAGGGAAACAACCCAGACCGCCAGCUAAGGUCCCAAAGUCAUGGUUAAGUGGGAAACGAUGUGGGAAGGCACAGACAGCCAGGAUGUUGGCUUAGAAGCAGCCAUCAUUUAAAGAAAGCGUAAUAGCUCACUGGUCGAGUCGGCCUGCGCGGAAGAUGUAACGGGGCUAAACCAUGCACCGAAGCUGCGGCAGCGACACUAUGUGUUGUUGGGUAGGGGAGCGUUCUGUAAGCCUGCGAAGGUGUGCUGUGAGGCAUGCUGGAGGUAUCAGAAGUGCGAAUGCUGACAUAAGUAACGAUAAAGCGGGUGAAAAGCCCGCUCGCCGGAAGACCAAGGGUUCCUGUCCAACGUUAAUCGGGGCAGGGUGAGUCGACCCCUAAGGCGAGGCCGAAAGGCGUAGUCGAUGGGAAACAGGUUAAUAUUCCUGUACUUGGUGUUACUGCGAAGGGGGGACGGAGAAGGCUAUGUUAGCCGGGCGACGGUUGUCCCGGUUUAAGCAUGUAGGCUGGUUAUCCAGGCAAAUCCGGAUAAUCAAGGCUGAGGUGUGAUGACGAGGCACUACGGUGCUGAAGUAACAAAUGCCCUGCUUCCAGGAAAAGCCUCUAAGCAUCAGGUAACAUCAAAUCGUACCCCAAACCGACACAGGUGGUCAGGUAGAGAAUACCAAGGCGCUUGAGAGAACUCGGGUGAAGGAACUAGGCAAAAUGGUGCCGUAACUUCGGGAGAAGGCACGCUGGUGUGUAGGUGAAGCCCCUGCGGGUGGAGCUGAGACCAGUCGAAGAUACCAGCUGGCUGCAACUGUUUAUUAAAAACACAGCACUGUGCAAACACGAAAGUGGACGUAUACGGUGUGACGCCUGCCCGGUGCCGGAAGGUUAAUUGAUGGGGUUAUCCGUAAGGAGAAGCUCUUGAUCGAAGCCCCGGUAAACGGCGGCCGUAACUAUAACGGUCCUAAGGUAGCGAAAUUCCUUGUCGGGUAAGUUCCGACCUGCACGAAUGGCGUAAUGAUGGCCAGGCUGUCUCCACCCGAGACUCAGUGAAAUUGAACUCGCUGUGAAGAUGCAGUGUACCCGCGGCAAGACGGAAAGACCCCGUGAACCUUUACUAUAGCUUGACACUGAACAUUGAGCCUUGAUGUGUAGGAUAGGUGGGAGGCUUUGAAGCGUGGACGCCAGUCUGCGUGGAGCCAACCUUGAAAUACCACCCUUUAAUGUUUGAUGUUCUAACGUUGGCCCCUUACCGGGGUUGCGGACAGUGUCUGGUGGGUAGUUUGACUGGGGCGGUCUCCUCCCAAAGCGUAACGGAGGAGCACGAAGGUUAGCUAAUCCUGGUCGGACAUCAGGAGGUUAGUGCAAUGGCAUAAGCUAGCUUGACUGCGAGCGUGACGGCGCGAGCAGGUGCGAAAGCAGGUCAUAGUGAUCCGGUGGUUCUGAAUGGAAGGGCCAUCGCUCAACGGAUAAAAGGUACUCCGGGGAUAACAGGCUGAUACCGCCCAAGAGUUCAUAUCGACGGCGGUGUUUGGCACCUCGAUGUCGGCUCAUCACAUCCUGGGGCUGAAGUAGGUCCCAAGGGUAUGGCUGUUCGCCAUUUAAAGUGGUACGCGAGCUGGGUUUAGAACGUCGUGAGACAGUUCGGUCCCUAUCUGCCGUGGGCGCUGGAGAAUUGAGGGGGGCUGCUCCUAGUACGAGAGGACCGGAGUGGACGCAUCACUGGUGUUCGGGUUGUCAUGCCAAUGGCACUGCCCGGUAGCUAAAUGCGGAAGAGAUAAGUGCUGAAAGCAUCUAAGCACGAAACUUGCCCCGAGAUGAGUUCUCCCUGAGACUUUAAGUCUCCUGAAGGAACGUUAAAGACGAUGACGUUGAUAGGCCGGGUGUGUAAGCGCAGCGAUGCGUUGAGCUAACCGGUACUAAUGAACCGUGAGGCUUAACCUU
rnacentral:rRNA from 1 species